GGGGCCAGGACCACCCAGGAUCCGAGUGAGUGCACCGCCAGGCACCUCCAAGAUGCUCCAUCUGACGCCCCCGCGGGCAUAGGGUCCCUCUCUGAACUGACUGGCUCCUCACCUGCUGUGCUUCCGAAGGUUUUUGAGCCAGGGUUUCUUCUUUCGUAUGAGAAUAUCCGCUUCCUCCCAGCAUCUUUAUGCACCUACUGGUUUCUAGCAAUGAUGAACACAAAGUCCAGGUCCCAAUGGAGCUUUUAAUCUUAAAAUGUAGGGGAGGCAGGGUUAAGGGCCAGAAGAUAGAUCAACAAGUAAACAUAAUUUCAAGUGAAGGUUGUAAAGAAAACAAAGCCAGAUUGUGCAAGUGAUGUGCUUUAUUAAGAAAACAAAACAAGAUUGUGCAAGGGGUGGGGGCAGGGAAGAAGAGGAGGUGUGAAGGGUUGCAGCCCGAAUGACCUGGAGUGAAAUCAACCAUAAAAGGGAGCAGUAAAUCAGGGAAACAGAGACCCAGGAAAACGGAGAUUGAAACUUUAUUGUGGGGCUAUUUUUUGUUUAAGUCUUUGAGGUCUGAGGAGAGGGUGGGAGUUCUCUAGCCCUUCCCUUCAGAAGAAGAGGGCCUGGUAAAUUCAGUUCUGACCUGGGUUUGGAGUCACCAUCUUCUUUUUCCUUUCAGAUACACCCUUCCUGCUUAGGACAGAUGUGUCACCCUUACUGUAAGAAGGGCAACCCAUGGAGGGCAGGAGGGCACAUGCUGUGCCAUCUUUCCUGUCCGCAUAAUUCCAUUCUCAAAUUGAUUAUCCUGUGGGCAGAUUAAGUAUGGGUUUAGGGUCUAGGAGUACAGCAGUUACUCAGAAGGCUGAAAAAGGAGGGUGGAAAGUCAGAGGCCAGCCUGGAUUACUCAGAAGAUCUUCCCUCAAAAUAAAAAAUAGAAGCCUGGUAUGGUAGUGCCUGUCUGUAAUCCCAGCAACUCAGGAGGUUGAGGCAGGAGGAUUGCUAGUUCCUAGCCAAUCUCAGCAAUUUAGGCCUAAGCUAAGCGGGAUGUAGCUCUGUGGUAGGGUGCCCCUGGGUUCAGAUUCCACUACCAAAACAAAACAACAACAAAACAACAAACCAGCAAGGACUUUUCUUCUAAACAUUACUUGUUAU
rnacentral:lncRNA from 1 species